GCGCGAAAACUUUACAAUGCGGGAAACCGCGAUAAGGGGACACUGAGUACCAGCACCAUGUGCUGGCUGUCCGCAUGUAUAAAUCACAUGUGUCAGCAAGGGCCGGGCAAGACCGGUGCCAGCCGCCGCGGUAACACCGGCGGCCCGAGUGGUGGCCAUUAUUAUUGGGUCUAAAGGGUCCGUAGCCGGUUUGAUCAGUCUUCCGGGAAAUCUGACAGCUCAACUGUUAGGCUUCUGGGGGAUACUGUCAGACUUGGAACCGGGAGAGGUAAGAGGUACUACAGGGGUAGGAGUGAAAUCUUGUAAUCCUUGUGGGACCACCAGUGGCGAAGGCGUCUUACCAGAACGGGUUCGACGGUGAGGGACGAAAGCUGGGGGCACGAACCGGAUUAGAUACCCGGGUAGUCCCAGCCGUAAACGAUGCUCGCUAGGUGUCUGGGAUGGUGCGACCGUUUCAGGUGCCGCAGGGAAGCCGUGAAGCGAGCCACCUGGGAAGUACGGCCGCAAGGCUGAAACU
rnacentral:rRNA from 1 species